rnacentral:snRNA from 1 species
GUGCUCGCUUCGGCAGCACAUAUACUAAAACUGGAACAAUACAGAGAAGAUUAGCAU